rnacentral:rRNA from 1 species
AGUGAACGCUGGCGGCGUGCCUAAUACAUGCAAGUCGAACGGAGAUUAAGUAGCUUGCUAUUUAAUCUUAGUGGCGCACGGGUGAGUAAUAUAUAGCUAACUUGCCCAUUACUAAGGGACAACAGUUGGAAACGACUGCUAAUACCUUAUACUCCGUAUCUAUAUAAGUAGAUACGGGAAAGUUUUUCGGUAAUGGAUAGGGCUAUAUCGUAUCAGCUAGUUGGUAAGGUAAUGGCUUACCAAGGCUAUGACGCGUAACUGGUCUGAGAGGAUGAUCAGUAACACUGGAAGUGAGACACGGUCCAGACUCCUACGGGAGGCAGCAGUAGGGAAUAUUGCUCAAUGGGGGAAACCCUGAAGCAGCAACGCCGCGUGGAGGAUGACACUUUUCGGAGCGUAAACUCCUUUUAUUGGGAAAGAAUUAUGACGGUACCCAAGGAAUAAGCACCGGCUAACUCCGUG